AUACGAGUUUGAUCAUGGCUCAGGAUGAACGCUAGCGGCAGGCUUAAUACAUGCAAGUCAAGGGGGUAGCAAUACAACCGGCGCACGGGUGAGUAACGCGUACACAACAUACCAUAUACUGGGGUAUAGCUUCGGGAAACUGGAGAUAAUCCCCCAUAACAUUGCGAGAGGGCAUCUGAUUGCAAUUAAAGUUUCGACGGUAUAUGAUUGGUGUGCGUUUGAUUAGCUUGUUGGUAGGGUAACGGCCUACCAAGGCGACGAUCAAUAGCUGGCGUGAGAGCGCGACCAGCCACACUGGAACUGAGACACGGUCCAGACUCCUACGGGAGGCAGCAGUAGGGAAUAUUGGACAAUGGGCGAAAGCCUGAUCCAGCCAUGCCGCGUGAUAGAUGAAGGCCCUCUGGUUGUAAAUAUCUUUAUCUGGGAAGGAAACUCCUCUAUUCUUAGAGGCCUGACGGUACCAGAGGAAUAAGCACCGGCUAACUCCGUG
rnacentral:rRNA from 1 species